GAUGAACGCUGGCGGCGUGCCUAAUACAUGCAAGUCGAGCGAACAGACGAGGAGCUUGCUCCUCUGACGUUAGCGGUGGACGGGUGAGUAACACGUGGAUAACCUACCUAUAAGACUGGGAUAACUUCGGGAAACCGGAGCUAAUACCGGAUAACAUGUUGAACCGCAUGGUUCAACAGUGAAAGACGGUCUUGCUGUCACUUAUAGAUGGAUCCGCGCCGCAUUAGCUAGUUGGUAAGGUAACGGCUUACCAAGGCAACGAUGCGUAGCCGACCUGAGAGGGUGAUCGGCCACCCUGGAACUGAGACACGGUCCAGACUCCUACGGGAGGCAGCAGUAGGGAAUCUUCCGCAAUGGGCGAAAGCCUGACGGAGCAACGCCGCGUGAGUGAAGAAGGUCUUCGGAUCGUAAAACUCUGUUAUUAGGGAAGAACAAAUGUGUAAGUAACUAUGCACGUCUUGACGGUACCUAAUCAGAAAGCCACGGCUAACUACGUG
rnacentral:rRNA from 1 species